AUCACCACUCCUUUGACCGAUCAAUCAAAACUCACCAAAUAGCACGAGCCAAUAGAUUCCAAACACCCGAUUGGGCUGUCAACUUCUCCAAUCACAGCCAACGACCACAGACCGCCAAGUCAAGUCGGCUAGUCUUCGACCCGGCCUGUUUCUCUCCUACCACAAGAUAUAAAAACAAAACAACCAUCCGACUUGCGAGUUUGAUUUUCACCAUUUCUGCUAAAAAAAAGGAACCUCAGUGGCAAAAUCGAGAGGGAUAGAGAGGCUAAACUCACAUAAAUGCAUGACAAAGCUUGAAUAAUCAUCACUGGUGGAGGAGGAACAAGUGCCUACCAUGGACAACACCACCGGCAUCGCCAUAGCUUCACCAAAACCAAACAAAAAGCGAGUUAAAGAUGGCGGAGGAGAUGCAAAGAACGGCGAAGAGGAAGAGGAGUGUGACGUUGAGGCGUGGGAUACACUGAGCAAGAGUUUCAAGCAGGUGCAGAGCGUACUGGAUCACAACCGUGACUUGAUUCAACAAGUGAACGCCAAUCACCAGUCGAAGAUUCCAGAUAAUCUUGUUAAAAACGUUUCAUUAAUUCGCGAGAUUAAUGGAAAUAUAUCCAAGGUAAUGUCGAUUUACUCCGAUUUAUCAGUCAAUUUCUCCAAUAUUGUUCAGGAACGGCGUCGUGUCAAGAAUGGAGGAGAAAGCAAUUUGGAGAACAAUAGCAACGAGUCUUGAAAUCAAUCAGUUAAAGACGAUGAAUUGAAGGCUGGUUUUACUGCAUUGUAUCCCCGAACCCCGCAGACGUAAUAAGUGUCAUUGUAGCAGUAGAAUCUGGAAAACAGAGAGGAAGUGACAUGUUGCGGCAUAUUUUACCACCAUGUCACAAUUCUGCAACCUCCCUGCUCUUUAGAAUGGUCAUGGAAAGUGGUUGCUGCAGCUAUUUGUGUGAUUGUUUGAGCAUCUUAAACAGGCCCUCUGUUGGAACUUGGGUGACUGCAAAAGACUAUUCAGGCCUAAACUUGGUAGGAUCGAGGUGACCUGACAAAUCUUUGACUCUGCUUUUGUUGGACAGUCGUUGCUGCAACCAGCACUGCUAGAUAUACUUUCUUUCCAUAUGAUGACUUUGUGGAUGAUAAUAUGGAUGUUGAACUUGGAUUAGGGGAACUAUCAAAUUUUUAACUAUGAUUUAGAUAUUCAUGCCAGUCUGUUGUAUUAGGCCUUCGCUUUUAGAUUCUCAAAACCUUUUAAGGAGGUAGAUUCUCAAAACCUUUUAGCCAUCUUGACUGAAAAAAAGUACAGAAUUUGUUGUGUGCAUGGUUGGACUUUUGGCAUGCCUUGGGAACUUGGAUUGUUCUCACAGUAUUGGCAGUCAUUGUUAGAGGCUAGGUUUAUGUUGUCUAACAUAUUUAAAAAACUGAUUCGUGUUAAGGCUAAUCAAUCCGCGGUUCCAAGUUUUGUGAGUGUAUAUUAUCUAGGUUAAUAGGCAGGAGCCCAGGGGGAAUCUGAAGACAUCCUUCAAUUAGGACAUGAUAAAACUAAGCCAUCAAGUAAUGUUUCUCAAGAAGUAUGGAAAAAUACGCAAAACACAAAUUCUGAUUCCCCAAAACCAUAUGCUUCGAUUUGUGAGAUUGCUGUCUUAUGGUACAAGUUCUUAACAAACCUACUUUCCCUCUAUCUAACAAAUUCUCUGGCCAUAGGAUAGCUAUGUUAGUACUCCAAAGAAUGUCAUUUUCCUUGUUGACAUGUGGUGAGUUGUAUAUGUUAUUUAUGCAUUUCGAAUUCUGGAAAUGGUUGAUCUGUGGCAAUAAAUUCUAGAUGAAAUUUACCGUGGAAAGGGAAAUGUAUUUGUUGUUUUUUCUGUUGUUGGUGAAAUAGACAUGGUUGGAGGAGCAAGAGGAAGGAAAUGUGAAUUGUUGACAUGAUACAGGUUAUCAACAACUGGUUCUUCAGGCAGAUAGAGAUGACGUUUUCAAGGUAGCACAUGAUGAAGAUUGAGGGCAUUGAGGGUUGAGGUUAAAGGGCCAUAGUUCUCAUAUUUCUUUCAUUAAAAAAGGAGGAGGUUAAUUAUUUGUUCAUCUAGGUUGUGACAGAGAUGAAAAAAAUGAUACUGCGGAAACGAUGAACUUUUUGCUGGUCACACCGCAGGCUAAUAUAAUUCCCUCUUUGUUUUCUCUCA